GAUGAACGCUGGCUACAGGCUUAACACAUGCAAGUCGAGGGGAAACGACGGGGAAGCUUGCUUCCCCGGGCGUCGACCGGCGCACGGGUGAGUAACGCGUAUCCAACCUGCCUCUGACUGAGGGAUAACCCGUCGAAAGUCGGCCUAAUAACUCAUGGUAUCGUCUGCGGGCAUCCAACGACGAUUAAAGAUUUCAUCGGUCAGGGAUGGGGAUGCGUCUGAUUAGCUUGUUGGCGGGGUAACGGCCCGCCAAGGCUACGAUCAGUAGGGGUUCUGAGAGGAAGGUCCCCCACAUUGGAACUGAGACACAGUCCAAACUCCUACGGGAGGCAGCAGUAAGGAAUAUUAGUCAAUGGGCGAGAGCCUGAACCAGCCAAGUAGCGUGCAGGAAGACGGCCCUAUGGGUUGUAAACUGCUUUUAUGCGGGGAUAAAGUGAGGGACGUGUCCCUCAUUGCAGGUACCGCAUGAAUAAGGACCGGCUAAUUCCGUG
rnacentral:rRNA from 1 species